rnacentral:rRNA from 1 species
AGUGAACGCUGGCGGUAGACCUAACACAUGCAAGUCGAACGGCAGCACAGUAAGAGCUUGCUCUUACGGGUGGCGAGUGGCGGACGGGUGAGGAAUACAUCGGAAUCUACUUUUUCGUGGGGGAUAACGUAGGGAAACUUACGCUAAUACCGCAUACGACCUACGGGCGAAAGCAGGGGAUCUUCGGACCUUGCGCGAUUGAAUGAGCCGAUGUCGGAUUAGCUAGUUGGCGGGGUAAAGGCCCACCAAGGCGACGAUCCGUAGCUGGUCUGAGAGGAUGAUCAGCCACACUGGAACUGAGACACGGUCCAGACUCCUACGGGAGGCAGCAGUGGGGAAUAUUGGACAAUGGGCGCAAGCCUGAUCCAGCCAUACCGCGUGGGUGAAGAAGGCCUUCGGGUUGUAAAGCCCUUUUGUUGGGAAAGAAAAGCAGCAGGUUAAUACCCCGCUGUUCUGACGGUACCCAAAGAAUAAGCACCGGCUAACUUCGUG